rnacentral:rRNA from 1 species
CCCGGGGUAUUGCCCUAGUAACGGCGAGUGAAGCGGCAACAGCUCAAAUUUGAAAUCUGGCUCUCGGGCCCGAGUUGUAAUUUGUAGAGGAUGCUUUUGAUGCGGUGCCUUCCGAGUUCCCUGGAACGGGACGCCAUAGAGGGUGAGAGCCCCGUCUGGUUGGAUGCCAAAUCUCUGUAAAGCUCCUUCGACGAGUCGAGUAGUUUGGGAAUGCUGCUCUAAAUGGGAGGUAUAUGUCUUCUAAAGCUAAAUACCGGCCAGAGACCGAUAGCGCACAAGUAGAGUGAUCGAAAGAUGAAAAGCACUUUGAAAAGAGAGUUAAAAAGUACGUGAAAUUGUUGAAAGGGAAGCGUUUAUGACCAGACUUGGGCUUGGUUAAUCAUCUGGGGUUCUCCCCAGUGCACUUUUCCAGUCCAGGCCAGCAUCAGUUUUCGCCGGGGGAUAAAGGCUUCGGGAAUGUGGCUCUCUCCGGGGAGUGUUAUAGCCCGUUGCGUAAUACCCUGGCGGGGACUGAGGUUCGCGCAUCUGCAAGGAUGCUGGCGUAAUGGUCAUCAACGACCCGUCUUGAAACACGGACC